rnacentral:lncRNA from 1 species
CUACUCCAAUAGCUAGAGAGCUUUUUAAGAUGAUAGAAGCACAGUAAUUUGCUAGUUGAAAUUUGGAAUGGAGAGGUUGGAAGCCUAGAGUUAACAUUUGGCCUCUUAAACUGGGAUGACUGCUUUGGAAAGCUUGUCACACAGGCCAGAAAUACUGAAAGAAAGACAAAUGAGGAUUUUGCAUUGCCCUAGAUUUUUCCCACAGAAUAAUCUAAAAGGUCACUGACUUUCUUUAUUUGAGUUUAUCUCUGUUCUGUAUUUAAAUGACAGGGAAAUCAUGUGGUAGUGUCUAAUCACCUUCUAUUCCUUCCCCAAAUUAAUUUUUCUAAGAAGCUUAGAUUGUUUGCCUCCCUGUCAGUACACACAUGCAAGCACAUGAGUUUUAGUGGCACUGCACAUUAUUCAAGUAUCUUCUUUGUGAAGGAAUGCUUGUUUUCAGUUUAGAGAAGUGGGCUCAGGAAUGCAGAAUAUAGGAUGGUUGUAUUUGUAAGAUUUAUGAUGUGCUGGAAUUCCUCCAUGGGCUUAUGUAAAGAGUAUGGUGUCUGUGUACUUGGAACAUCCAUCUUUUGGGAGAUUGUCCUGGCUUUCAUAAAACUAGUCAAGAAAAUAAAGAUGCCAGUGCCUUUUGGCGUUAAUAGAUAGCACUGUGGCAAAGGUUUUUUGACAUUAGAGCUUGAAACCCUAAGCACUGGGCUUGCUGCUUUUGCAGAAAAGUUGUUUCCAAGUUUACAACCUAAUUCUGAGGUUAAUAUCUUUUCUAUUCAAAUGAGUGUUAGAACAUCAGUAUUUUAAAAACAGAACAAUGGAAAAACAAAUCAAAACUACACUGAAGUAGACAGAAUUUCAACCAGAUGUCUGAUCUGUUGUCCAUUUAAUUUUUUAAUUUAUAUCUAUUUAUACUUUUUGGUGGUUUCAGUGUUUUAGAGCUAAGGAUUAAACCCAGAGGCUUUCCCAUGUAAGGCAAACCCUGAGCCGCAUUCCCAUCCUCUUUGUACCUUGCUCCCAACAUAAAGCACUAGGAUCUACAUCUGAAUCAGAGCUCUCUCAGCCGUCACUCUAUGGGAUGUUAUGUAUUUAAUUCAGUAUUUAUUAUACUGCUUGUCUGCAAAAAUCUGUUCAGAGUACUUUGGCUUCCUUUAGAAAGAUUUAAUGUAGACUGUGGGAUUGGGGACAAUAACGCUUCCCUGGAUAAAUAUAAAAUAUAUUAAUAGCAUAUAGCAACUGACUGUUAGGACAGUAAGAGUUGACUAAGCAAACUUCACUUGUAUACUUGUGUUCAGUUAUUAAAAAGGAUCUGAAAAGACUUUGUCUUAGGAAGCUUACAGUUAGGUAAAGGAGAGACCACAAGGUCCAGGGUUACAUGGCCUCUAGUGAGCUGAGUAUGAGGGUAGAAGUGUAGCUGUGGCCAAGGGAGAAACAAUUCAAUUGAAACAGACCCAAAGCACUCUAAGGAACAGGUGGGUCCACUGUUGGAUGUUGGGCUAUCGAUAGGAUGGUACUUUAAGAGAGAGCGUUCCAUCCUUCAGUAUGUGUAGGAAGAAGUAGAAGUUCCUAUAGCUCCGUCAUCAAAGACAUUUGCUAUGGAAUACUUGGCCAGAUUCUCUUCCUUGAAAGGAUUUGUAUUCUGGCAUUAUUUAUUCCUUGAACUACCAUUCAAUUUAGGAUGGUAGAGGCCUAGAAAUAGAAGAGACCUUGGGGGUCACCUUGCUAAUUGAGAGGUUAUUUUCCACCAUCCUGUGGAUCAGGAAUACUUUACAUGUGGGGCCUGCACUUUGAUUCAGUAGGUAGAGGUGCUGAAGCAUAGGCCUGCCACUCUCUGUAUCCCACAAGUUGGCAGGAAAUGGGAGAUUCCUGACAGUUGUCCUAUGGCCUCCAGGUGCAGCCAUGUUGCACAUGUGUGCAUGUGCACACACACACACGAGAGAGAGAGAGAGAGAGAGAGAGAGAGAGAGAGAGAGACAGAGAGAGAGAGAGAGAGAGAGAGAGAGAGACAGCAGAGACAGACAGCAGAGACAGACAGAGUCUGGGACUGAGAAAACCUCUCUCACCCCCUGUACUGGCUAGUUUUGUGUCAACUUGACACAGCUGGAGUUAUCACAGAGAAAGGAGCUUCAGUUGAGGAAAUGCCUCCAUGAGAUCCAACUGUAAGGCAUUUUCUCAAUUAGUGCUCAAGGGGGAAAGGUCCCCUGUGGGUGGGACCAUCUCAGGGCUGGUAGUCUUGGUUCUAUAAGAAAGCAGGCUGAGCAAGCCAGGUGAGGCAAGCCAGUAAAGAACAUCCCUCCAUGGCCUCUGCAUCAGCUCCAGCUCCCUGACCUGACCUGCUUGAGUUCCAGUCCUGACUUCCUUUGGUGAUGAACAGCAGCAUGGAAGUGUAAGCCGAAUAAACCCUUUCCUCCCCAACUUGCUUCUUGGUCAUGAUGUUUGUGCAGGAAUAGAAACACUGACUAAGACACCCCCAUACAGAGAAUCUUUCCCGGAACACUUUUCAGCUUGUGGUCUGUUUGCCUUUAUGAUCUCCCUGAAAGUUUUCAGUCACUUAUUGGGUGGAAGUCAGGCAUACAGUGUAAAGUUGGGCAUCCUCAUGGGAAGAGAAAAGUCAUGUAGAGUUACAAAAAUAACUACACAUACUUCAUCCUUGGUCAAGCUUGCUGACAGAAAUGGAUCCAUUCUCCAUAUAGCUGAUCUAUUAGACGAUUUCUAAGUAUCUCUCUAAUGGGGGUCUUUUAAGAGUUUAGCUGUGUUAUUCAAACAUGAAUUAAUGUAUUUUAGAGAACUGAUUUUCUAUUUAUCAGGCCCAAAUAAUAGAAUUUUAAAGAUGUAAAGUUUUUGGAAUAAUCAGUAUGAAUGUCCACCUCCUUGUAAGCUUUUUUUUUCAUGUACAUUCAUGUUUAAAUAUUUGAACAUGCUUAAGAUGAAGAUAAGCAUAGUCAUUCAGAUGGGGGGGCAUGAAGCUGGUUAUAGUUGCUUAUGCUUCUUGAAAUGUUAGUACUCUUGAGGGUGAAGCACAAGUAUCAAGAGUUAAAAGAUAUCCUCAGCUACGUAGCGAAUUUGAUGCUACCCAAGGCUAUAUGGUGAAUUUGUGGGUAUCUUUGACUACAUAGCAAGAUUCCCAACUGGGAAAAAAAUGAAAAAAGAAGAAAAAGGGACACUAAUAAUUAAAUGAGUUAGAAGGUAGUUAGAAGAUAUUUUGUCUACUUAACAGUUAGAAUGAAUUUAGCCAGAUGGUGGUGGUGCAUGCCUUUAAGCUAAGUACUUGAGAGGCAGAGGCUGGAGGAACUCUGAGUUCGAGGAGAGCCAGGACUACACAGAGAAACCUGAUCGCUAAAAGC